CUGGGGGGGGCAACCCAAAUACCUGCAGGCCCACCCACCUAUUUCCGGGGAAUUUGCAAUUGCUCCUGAAAACGCUCUUGCCAAGUUUGAAUGCGACAACAGUUAAAAAGGACAGAACAUGGACACAAUGCAAUUGGGAUCAAGAAGAAGAAAUGAAUCAAGGCCAUGGAAUGGACAUAGACGAAAAGACCAUUCAAGGACUCCGCAAGGCUAGUCGGAGGUAGCAGAGGUAGAGAGGCGAGGCAGGGGUGAGGACAUCAUCCAGCUAUUUCGGCAAUCCCUGAAGGACAAUACAGAAGGGACACACAUGGGACUCAAGACCACAGCAGCGAUCCUGCUCUUGCCCUACCUCUUCAAUGAGGACCCGAGUGGCCUUUAUGCCCAUGACAAGAUUUCAUCGCUCCCCACUCCUUUACUGCACAUCGGCGGAAAUCCAUUUCACCAUGAGAGUGAAAUCACGCUGGCCUUUUAUGGGAAGAACAUCCACACCCUAGAGGACGUCCCCAUGGGACUCUGGGCUCUGCUAGGGCUGUAUUUUUUUAUUUUCAGUUACAUUACCCCCCCAAAAUUAAGAAAAAUACAUAUGUUCUUAAGUUACUUUUACUAGGGCCGGUCAUUGUCACACCCUGACCAUAGAGAGCCCUUGGUUCUCUAUGGUGUUGAGGUCAGAGCGUGACUAGAGGGGUGUUCUAGUUUUCAUAUUUCUAUGUUGGUGUGCUUGGUAUGGUUCCCAAUUAGAGGCAGCUGGUAAUCGUUGCCUCUAAUUGGGGAUCAUAUUUAGGUAGCCUUUUUCCUCAUCUGUGUUUUGUGGGAUAUUGUUUGUGUGUGUGCUAGUUGCACCACCUAUGUAACGUUUCGUUAUGUCUUUAUUUGUUUUGUUCCAAGUUUCACAAAAUUAAAUAUGUGGAACUCA